GGAGGCGAGGGAGGGAGCCCCGCGGGCCGCGCUGCUCUCUCACCCAGGCAGGAAAGGAUCAGUGUACCCAGACCACAAAAGCAAACAAGAAAAAAGACUGAGGACACACAACCGGGGGGCAUUCUUGCAGCCGUGGGAACAGGAUCAAGAUUAGAGCGUUCUUUUCCCCAAAGAGUUCCCCUAUACCAGGCACCUGUGUUCCAUGCAGCACACUUUGAGAAAUGCUGAGUAUGAAUGAGAGAGUGAAGUUCAAGGUGUGAAGAAAAUUGUGCAUUUCUGUAGCAUGGUCCUGAACCUAAUGGCUGCGAUGAGCUUUGACAAGUCAGUGCCAGGAGUUGAACCCAGAACCUCUUGCCUGUUAGG